CUGAAUUUGCUUUUCUCACUUUAAGUUGGUUUUAUAAUGGAGUUGUUGAAAGCAAUGAAGGGUUUGGAAAAAUACCCUUGGUGCUGUGAAAUAGGAACCAUUUCCAAAGCUUGUUCAAAAUCUGAUUACAUUAGCAAUUUCUCAAAUCCAUUGUAUUAGCUUUGUAAUUUGCUUCCAUGACCCACACAAUCUAUUGACACAGUGUCUUUUUUUUUUUUUUUUUAAGGAGGAGAGAAAGACCAGUCUCUCUUUGGAAAAUACCAUCUUAAAAAAACUUGGAAACAACAGAUUUUUGACUGGGCUGAAGGAGGAACCUGAGAACUGCCAGGUGAGACCUGACCAUCAGCUUCAGGGGGAAGGAACCUGGUUUAUCAAACUCACUGCUACGUCUAAGUGCAACCAGCAACACAAGUCUACUAUUAGCUGGAAAUAAUAAACUGCUCAAUGAAACCAAAAUUAUGAAGGCCCAGCCAGGAAACUCUCAAACACUCAUGUUUACAGCACACCUGGUGAGUAUUUUCACAGUAAAGUAUAAAAUAUGCCCUUUUAAAAAUAGCAUAAAAUUGGUGUCACAGAACACGGACACCUUUUAAGCCUUAAGCCAGAGUUUACAGAGUUUAUAGACUCCUUAUAACUCUUUGCUAUAACUUAAAAAGUCUAGAAUAAUGAGCGUAACUUGAUGAGUUGUAGAGGUCAAAGCAAACAUCUUCAGUUUCUUAUCUGGAGAAAGCCUAAGUAUUGUUAUGGAAUUGCUUUGGCCCGGGGAAAAAAGUCUUGAGAACUUGAGUCAAAUAAAUUCCAUCUUCUCCUUGAUUUUUACUGUAGAGCCAAGGGCAAACUACUACAGAAGAAACUUUUGGUUGAAUAAGGUGUUGACAUAGUGGUAACCCAUGUUAGGUUGAAAUUUCAUCACACCAAUAUGGUUGGGCCAGGUAGAGGUGACUCUAGCCUUUCUCUCUGUCUUUCUCUCUCUCUCAGUUUUUUACCUUGGAGACUUGUAAUAUUUUGUGGGCCUUUCUUGAUUCUGGAAUCUUCCACACUCAUGUAAACUACCUUGAGUUUUAUCCUUUGCCAUCUCCUCUUGGCUCACCUCCAAGUCUUUUACAAAGUUUUCAAUCACAACCAUAACUACAUAACUCCCCAUAUUCCUCUCUUUCUUAUCUGGAAUCCUGGUGGUCUCUCUGUAAUGGAAAAAUUUUCUGUGUCCUGGGUCCUGGGAAACAAAUAUUGAGAUGGGUCUGGGAGGUACUGUCAGGGCCAUCCCCUGUGGGAGCUUAAUGGAAGCAAGAUGGAGUCAAGGGAGAAGUUGGCUAUGAUGUGGUCACAACACAUGUGCAGCUGACCCCACCUGGAACCUUCCACGUUGUCCCAAAUGGAGAGAAGGGGGUUGGGUCUUUGUAAACUGACCUCAGAAAGCGCUAGAGUCUGGCUGCCCUGGAGAGGGACAUGGUCUUAGAUGAGGCAGCUCCUGGCAGCUGAGGGCAGUUUUCCUGGGAAGGAUCUCGGCUGUCAACAGACCUAGCAACUGGAGGAUGAGUGUUUGGCCUUAAAAAGGUGGAUCUGGGUGGAUACCACUGUAUCCAUCACAGCCUCAUUGUAGAAUCCCCAUAUGAGGAAAGUAAGCCCUUCUGGAGAAAUGAAGGCUGCUGGUAGC
rnacentral:lncRNA from 9 species